GUGUGUGUGUGUGUGUGUGCGCGCGCGCGUUAAGAAAUGGGUCUCCAGAUGUGGGUUUAGGUCUCAAAAGGUUGAAGACUACUGCUCUACCAAGUGGUUAACAUAAAGCAAUCUAAAAUACUCAUUUUUAAAAAAACUGGUAGUACCAAUCAUUUAAAAUAAAAUAAAAUAACCUAAUAAAUAUGAAUAAAACACAAGUAAUCCUAAUAAAAUUAUAUGUUAACAUUACAGAUUAUAUGUGCUCACAUGCUCAUAGGUAAUCAUGUGAACUCAGCAUUUAUAGAUCCAGUCAGGAAGAAAUGACACUGUUUUUGGUCUCUGGAGAAAGCUGUCAUGUUUGUCGUCGUUUCCCCACCACCACCACCUGUCCAUUUAUUUUUAUUUAUUGUUUUUCAACUUUGAUUCCAGCUGGUUACAAGGUUCCCAUCUCCCCAAAAUGUACAAAUGCAUAAAAUUGCAAACAGACUAUGAGUUGGCAGAUGAAAGAGCAGUCUAGAAUACUUAAAGGUACUGUAUUUUUUGCUCUAUAAGAUGCACCAGACCACAAGAUGCACCUAGUUUUUGGACGAGAAAAACAAGAAAAAAAUAUUCUGAAUCCCAGAAGCCAGAACAGCAAGAGGGAUCGCUGCGCAGUGAAAGCAGCAAUCCCUCUUGCUGCUCUGGCUUCUGUGAUAGCUGCGCAGCCUGCAUUCGCUCCAUAAGACGCACACACAUUUCCCCUUACUUUUUAUGAGGGAAAAAGUGAGUCUAUAGAGCAAAAAAUCUGGUACAUCAAAAGCUGCCUGAGCUAUUUAUGAAGUAUUGAAAGUAAAACAAAUAAGAAUAUUUUCAUCUAGCACCAAAAAGAAAGUGCCAUCAGGCAAGCGGCUUGGAGCAAGUCCCUUCCAUACCUGGGGUAGCUGAGCUCAAAAUGGCUAUUCUCUACGGAGGCAUUUGAAGAAGGCCAUCAGCAGAUAAACUAUGAGCACAGAGAGGUGGUCAGGGAAGAUGGAGCUCCUUCAGGUGUUGUUGCUAUUUAUUUGAUUUCUUACCCGUCCUUCACCAGGAGGUCCGUGAGCAGAAUACACCAGCAUAAAAGUAAUUGGUUAAAGCAAUUUACAAUCCAAAGAAGAAGGUGUUCCUAAAAUAUAUACUAUCUCAGGAGUCAAAGGCCGUGGUAAAAAGGUACUUGUUUCCAAUGGGGUUUAGAGCUUUAAAAGUGUGCAUCAGUCCUUUGAAUUGGUUCUUUUAAAACUGCCAAGAAGGAAUCCAAACUAACAUGCCGAACUGUGUAUGUUUGUUUCAAGUAUGUUUAUCUCAUCCUUCACCAAAUUGUGCUGGGACAGGACUGCAUAUGCAUUAAAACCAUAAUUUGUGAUGUUUUAAAAGCUUAAAGAAAUAAUGAAUUACCAUAACAAAUCUCAGUGGAAAUCUACAUGGCAGCAGGAAGGGAAUAAAACAAAGAAGGCAAGUCUUCACUCAUCAACACCACACGCCUCAGUGGAGAGGUUAUUCCAUAAGUGAGGGGCUUCCACCGAGAAGGCCCUUCAGGGCACCCAGGUACCACAGCUCUCACUUGAGGCAGGCCCAUAAGCAGGGUUCCUCUGCUGAUCUAAAUGUAUGGGCAGGUUGGUAAAGGAAGAGGCUUUCUUUCAGAUAUUUGAGGCCUAACUCAUUUAUAAUUUGGUCCAGAAGGUACUUAGAAUCAUAGAGUUGGAAGAGACCACAAGGGCCAUCGAGUCCAGCCCCCUGCCAAGCAGGAAACACCAUCAGAGCACUCCUGACAUAUGGUUGUCAAGCCUCUGCUUAAAGACCUCCAAAGAAGGAGACUCCACCACACUCCUUGGCAGCAAAUUCCACUGUCAAACAGCUCUUACUGUCAGGAAGUUCUUCCUAAUGUUUAGGUGGAAUCUUCUUUCUUGUAGUUUGGAUCCAUUGCUCCGUGUCCGCUUCUCUGGAGCAGCAGAAAACAACCUUUCUCCCUCUUCUAUGUGACAUCCUUUUAUAUAUUUGAACAUGGCUAUCAUAUCACCCCUUAACCUCCUCUUCUCCAGGCUAAACAUGCCCAGCUCCCUUAGCCGUUCCUCAUAAGGCAUCAUUUCCAGGCCUUUGACCAUUUUGGUUGCCCUCCUCUGGACACGUUCCAGUUUGUCAGUGUCCUUCUUGAACUGUGGUGCCCAGAACUGGACACAGUACUCCAGGUGAAGUCUGACCAGAGCAGAAUACAGUGGCACUAUUACUUGAAUUGGGUCUAGAACAAAAUUAGCAACCACUUAACAUAGCAUGGAUAAUUGUGACCAGACUAUCCCAGUCUAGGAAAAGCCAUAGUUGGGAAUAGAUAUUUUAGUCACUGAAGCAACAUGGGCCUGAGGUUUCCUCCCCCUUGCUAGCAACCUUGUCCUGUGUCUGUUGCACUUUCAAACAAAAGGACAGAAUAGCUACAGGAUUUGAUUCCAAAUCUCUAACCAGGAGGCCAUGCUAGGACUAGAGUGCACAACCCCAUCAGAAAGAAAACUGUGAGUGGAAAAUAUGCAGGAAGUGAGACUAUAAGCAUGUUGCAAUGAGUUUCUUCAGCUCCUAUCCUGUGCUGUUCGCAUUUCAUAAGGCCUGUAAAGCGAAGAAGGGAAAUAUUUGACCUGCUGUCUUAGAGUAUUUCUUUAUUAGAAGGAUUUCUAGCCCGCCCUUCAUCGAGUGAGCAAUGCCAAGGUUGGCAUACAUUAAAACAGAAGACAAUGCAUUUGUAGGUAAAACAACAUCAGAAGGGCAGGUUAAACAAUGAGUCAGAGCAGCAGACUGAUGGGUAUUAGUAAGAGGAUAUAUGAAUUAUAUUUGAUCUUCUACAGACCCACAUGUGUGGGUUAACACAAAAGAAAAACAGCUUGUGCCUGUUUUUAAAGCACAGGGUUUGCACACAGAGGGCCCCAGUAGCAGAGUUUAAAUCCCAUUGUUAGGCAGAUUUAAUAGAUGCAUAGGAACAGGUUUUUAAACCACCUUUUUAAUAUCCCUGUCCAGGAAACACUGAAGCUGAAUAACCAGUUGAAGCUGGUAAAAAGAACACUUAGCUACUCAAGCCCCCUGGGCCUCCAGUGACAAUGAAGGAAUCAGUAGCAUUCCCAUAUUAUGGGCCUCCUCCUUCGAGAGGAAUUCAACCCCAUCCAGAAUAGGCCUUCUACCUAAGUUCCACACCAGGGCACAGUCUCUCCUUUGCCAGGUGUCAGUUUAUUGGCCCUCAUCCAGCUUCACCCAACAUGGUCCAUAUUCUGCACAGCCUCAUUUGAUUCAGAUGUCAAAGAGAAACAGAGCUAGGUGUCGCCAACAUAUUGAUGGCACCCAACUCCAAACUACUGAUGAUCUCAUCUGUGGCUUCAUAUAGAUGUUCAAUAGCACAGGGGACAAGAUUAAACCCUCCAGUACCUUAUAGCACAAGCACCACAAACCUGAACAACACAAUUCUACCAUCUGACCCUGAAGUUAGGAGUGGAACCAUCAUAUCACAGUACCUCCAGUUCCCAAACUACAGAGCUGGUCCAGUAGGUGCUCAGGAAACCUUGCCCC